rnacentral:rRNA from 1 species
UACGAAGGGGGCUAGCGUUGCUCGGAAUCACUGGGCGUAAAGGGUGCGUAGGCGGGUUUUUAAGUCAGGGGGUGAAAUCCUGGAGCUCAACUCCAGAACUGCCUUUGAUACUGAAGAUCUUGAGUCCGGGAGAGGUGAGUGGAACUGCGAGUGUAGAGGUGAAAUUCGUAGAUAUUCGCAAGAACACCGGUGGCGAAGGCGGGUCUCUGGGCCGAUACUGACGCUGAGGCUCGAAAGCGUGGGGGAGCAAACAGG